rnacentral:rRNA from 1 species
AGAGUUUGAUCCUGGCUCAGAAUCAACGCUGGCGGCGUGCCUUAACACAUGCAAGUCGAACGCGAAAGUCCCGCAAGGGAUCAGUAGAGUGGCAAACGGGUGAGUAACGCGUGGGCGACCUACCUUCGAGUGGGGGAUAACCUUCCGAAAGGAGGGCUAAUACCGCAUGACAUUCCGUGUUUGGACACACGGGUAUCAAAGCCGGGGAUCGCAAGACCUGGCGCUUGAAGAGGGGCCCGCGUCCGAUUAGCUAGUUGGUGGGGUAACGGCUCACCAAGGCUCCGAUCGGUAUCCGGCCUGAGAGGGCGGACGGACACACUGGGACUGAGACACGGCCCAGACUCCUACGGGAGGCAGCAGUGGGGAAUUGUUCGCAAUGGGCGCAAGCCUGACGACGCAACGCCGCGUGGAGGAUGAAGACCUUCGGGUCGUAAACUCCUUUCGACCGAGAUGAAUUUCCGCCGACCUAACACGUCGGCGGGGUGACAGUAUCGAGGAAGCAGCCCCGGCUAACUCCGUGCCAGCAGCCGCGGUA